UCCCAUCAAUAUGUAUUUUACCUACAGGCAGCAUCUGCAGGAACAAAAACUAUUAACGUCUAAUUAAAAAACAAAACAAAAAACAACUAUGGACUGCUAGGCAAAACUAAAGCUGGUAGCUGUCAAUAAGAAGCAGUGCGGAUGAACAGAAGCAUAAUUAUAUCUUCCCCCACCACAUUACUGAACCAAAAGAUUACAGACUACUGCUCACAGAAUUCCAAAUCUCCAUCUUGCACCUAUACUACCAUCUCUUUUCAAGAUAUAUACUACAUGACCGGCUGCUUAUCAAGACUGUAAGGAGACCAUCAAACUUCUGCAACGAUCCUCUUUGCUAAACAGACUCCCACUUGUCAGGAACUGGUAACACUUCCCUCAAUUAUUGCUGGAUAACAUCUAUGUGCAUUAAAACUGUCAGUUCCUUUCAUCCAAUCAGUUUUAUCAAGCUCUUCAGCCUGCGAUUUUCUGAUAACUACACAGGGAUUUUUCUCUCCUCACUAUUGCAUUAGGCUGCACAU